UACGUAGGGUCCGAGCGUUGUCCGGAAUUACUGGGCGUAAAGGGUGCGUAGGUGGUUUGUUAAGUCUGCUGUGAAAUCCCCGGGCUCAACCUGGGAAUGGCAGUGGAUACUGGCAAGCUAGAGUGCGGUAGAGGGUAGUGGAAUUCCACGUGUAGCGGUGAAAUGCGUAGAGACGUGGAGGAACACCUGUGGCGAAGGCGCCUUGCUGGCCGAUUUCUGACGCUGAGGCGCGAAAGCGUGGGGAGCAAACGGG
rnacentral:rRNA from 1 species